GACAGCCAGGAUGUUGGCUUAGAAGCAGCCAUCAUUUAAAGAAAGCGUAAUAGCUCACUGGUCGAGUCGGCCUGCGCGGAAGAUGUAACGGGGCUAAACCAUGCACCGAAGCUGCGGCAGCGACGCUGAUGCGUUGUUGGGUAGGGGAGCGUUCUGUAAGCCUGCGAAGGUGUGCUGUGAGGCAUGCUGGAGGUAUCAGAAGUGCGAAUGCUGACAUAAGUAACGAUAAAGCGGGUGAAAAGCCCGCUCGCCGGA
rnacentral:rRNA from 1 species